UGCGCAGGCGGGCUAAUAAGUCAGUGGUGAAAUCUUUCGGCUUAACCGGGAAACUGCCAUUGAUACUGUUAGUCUUGAGUUCGGUUGAGGUAGGCGGAGUGUGUAAUGUAGCGGUGAAAUGCUUAGAUAUUACACAGAACACCAAUUGCGUAGGCAGCUUACUAGACCGACACUGACGCUGAGGCACGAAAGCGUGGGGAGCGAACAGGAUUAGAUACCCUGGUAGUCC
rnacentral:rRNA from 1 species